rnacentral:snRNA from 1 species
AUAUCACCCAGGGUUUUCCCAGGGUGAGGCUUACCCAUUACAUCUGGGAUGUGCUGACCCCAAUGACCCCAUAAUUUGUGAUAGUGGGGGCAGUGCUGUGUUCUUUCCUGUGAAUAAUUUUAAAAUGUACAAAGCACACUCUUC